CUUAAAAUCAUGGUAGAUCCUAUUUAUUAUUAUUAUUAUUUUCAAAUGAUGAUUCUUAUUUGAUCAGUGCAUGAAUGGGGCAUAUACAUAGUAUAUGCAAGAAUUUUCCAUCAAAAACAUUGUUUCAACCUAUAUGUGAAACAGACAUGCAGUAAUCUGAUGUUGGAUGCAUGACGGCACAUGAUGAGGAAUGGUGGUUGUGGGAGUUGAAACAUAAUGAUGGGCGGUAUGGUAGCAGUUAUUAAGUUGGGGGCAGUGUAGUAGACUGGCNNNNNNNNNNAAUAAUAGUAGUAAGAUAUACAAUGGAGGUAUAUGUGAUGAAGAAAAAUUUUGGUUAUAAGGGCAACGAUAUAGAGGAUAAGGUUUUGGCAGUAUAAUUUUGAUAUAAAACCUAUGCAAUAAGAGGAUGGGGGGGUGGUACAAUUUUCCUAUUGUAGGAAUGAUAAGAUGACUCAGACUCUUAAAAUUUAGAAGGAAGGGUUUCAUUUAUCUCCAUCAAUGGUGAGUAAAGAGACAAAUUAUGAUUGCAUGGAUGUAAAACCUAUAUAGUGAUCAAAGAGAAAGGCAGAGCAGGG
rnacentral:misc_RNA from 1 species